rnacentral:rRNA from 1 species
CCCUUAGAUGUUCUGGGCUGCACGCGUGUUACAAUCGGGAGUACAACAAGAUUGCAAGUCCUAGUGGAUGAGUGGUUCUUCGAAAUUUUCUGAAGACUGGGAUAGUUGAUUGAAAUUAUUCAACUCGAACGAGGAAUUCCUUGUAAUUGUAAUUCAUUAUAUUGUAAUGAAUACAUCCCUGCCCUUUGUACACACCGCCCGUCGCUCCUACCGAUUGAACGAUCCGGUGAAUUAUUUGGAGUAGCUCUGGAAGUUGCAGAACUUCCUAUGUCACGAAAUUUUGUAAACCUUAUCGUUUAGAGGAAGGAAAAGUCGUAACA